rnacentral:rRNA from 1 species
UACGGGGGGGGCAAGCGUUGUUCGGAAUUACUGGGCGUAAAGGGCUCGUAGGCGGCCAACUAAGUCAGACGUGAAAUCCCUCGGCUUAACCGGGGAACUGCGUCUGAUACUGGAUGGCUUGAGAUUGGGAGAGGGAUGCGGAAUUCCAGGUGUAGCGGUGAAAUGCGUAGAUAUCUGGAGGAACACCGGUGGCGAGGGCGGCAUCCUGGACCAACACUGACGCUGAGGAGCGAAAGCCAGGGGAGCAAACGGG